rnacentral:misc_RNA from 1 species
CGGAGUGUAGGUCCACACGCUUUUGUGCAAUAGCAAACACACUCACUGCACAAGAACGGAGGAAGAAAAAGAAAGCAAUCAAACACGCUGGGGUGUGUUCGUGGCGCAUAGACCCCACCUGACCACCACCACCACAGACCCCUACGAAAGGGAAGCACUUUGUUUGUCUGUCUUGUCGAGGGGGGGCCUAACAUAUACCUUUGUCCCUAUAUAUUUCGUCCCACUUGCUUGCCCGUUUCGUUUGUUUUCUCUUCGACCUAUUUUGCCGUGCCUCCUCGCUGAUUUUGCUUUUUUUUCGAGCGCGCGUGUAUCUGGGCAGCGUUUGAGGAGCUCCUAUACUGACGGCUUCCCACGUUGUUUUGCUCUUUUGGUCUUUCAAGGUGAGCGACUCCGCACAGGUACACCGCCCAGCAUCAGCUAGACGGUGUGUGUGUGUCCUGCGAAACGGGGACGUUCGUAUCGCACGGGUAUCGAGGUCAAGCUCACACGCGCCCGAACACAGUUUUCGACGUACACAUACGCGAUCGAGGGCAGGGGCCGCCGUUGUGGAGACACUUGGUGAUACUAAAAGCGUUUCCGCUGCCUUUCUCAUUUUUUUUUUUCGACUAGUAAAGUCCAGAGGAGAGACGACAACAAAAGGCUAGCACAGUACUGUUCUGUAUUGCUGUGCUGCACUGCGUUGGGCAAGAGCGCAGACUUUACUUUCAAAGUGUGUCCUUGCUGCUUUCAGCCACGCAGUCCAUCAACGCGUACCAAAGACCCGCACUAGGUCGACGUCUCCUCAGGUAUUUUCUUUUUUUUUUGUAUCGCUUUAAACACCUCCUUCUCCCCGCUUCUCUCUGAGUCUUGUGCACUCAUCCUCAUACCGCCUUCUUUCUUUCUGCCUGUCACUCCCAUUUCUCGUGGGUGAUGCUGCUUGCUUUUGCUCUGGGUUUUUAGUCUCGUUUCUAUUCGUGUGUCUGCGCGUGUUUGCCAAGGGUGCGGUGAUCAAAGUAGCACACCCGCACACUUGCACAGUGAGCAAUAGAACGGCCGGUGGAAGAAACCAGUAGAUGAAGCGGGAAGGGAGUUGCACGGACAAGGAUUGAAAUAAGACGAGGAGACAGAAAGCAUCUCAAGAUAUAUAUUCAGUCUUUCAUGCAGGCACACAGGCUCUCGCCCUCACCCAUCAAAAAAUAAAAAGGUAAAAAAGGAAACCGCGCGUAUGUUUUGUGCGUCGAUGUUUUUUGGCCCUGUCUUUGCCCCCUCCUUCCCAUUUCACUCCCCCUCCAUUUUUAGCGUAGUGCUCUGCCGUUUCCAGUAGUGCGCGUGUCUGUUUAUUUUUUUUUGCCGCCUUUUCUCCGUUUCAUUGCUGUCAAUUCUCUCUGUGGUGUUUGCUGUGUUUUCGGGUCCUGCUCUUUAACUCCUGUAUCACUUCAGCUCAGUGUAUUGUGUGUCUGUGUGUCUGUGCUUGAAGCACUUCAUUGCCUCUUUCGUGUUUUUUUUUGUGUUGCGCUGACAUCGUUGCCUGCGCUGCUCUUCAUUUUUUUUGCUUGUUCGUGUUGCGCCUUUGGACCGCCCUCUGUCUCUCCGCCUCGGUGCCGUUGUCUGCAUCUCCUCCUCCUGCGAUCCCCUCGGCACCUUUUCUCUCGUUCAUCCACCGUCUUUGCGCUGGACGGCUAAACUGAAACGAAAGGCACUGACGAGAAAGAGAGGUCAAAAAAAAUGACCACAAGGAAAGUGAUCGGCGAUGUGGUGCAAUACCGCCUGGAUACUCCGAUUGCGAGUGGUGCCUUCAGCACUGUGUGGCGGUGCUCGGAGCUCUCAUCGGGGCGGACCUACGCCGUGAAGAUUGUGGAAAAGAAGGCGGCCCUUCGGAACAAGAUGACUGGGGCCCUUAUUCGCGAGGUCAACGCACUCGAGAUUGCUGGCAGCUCUCCUUACGUGACUGGGCUCGUGGACAAGAUGGUAUCCAAGCACAAUUACUACCUUGUCAUGGAACUCGCCGAGGGUGGAACGCUGCUGGAUCUGAUUCGCGAGCGACGCCAGGAGUUGAGGCAGCUGCAGGUGUCGUCGUCCACUGGCUGCUCUGUGAUGGACUCGCUGCAGUUGUCGGCCACCCCGUUCAUGCCGUACGAUCGAGUGCGGUACUACUUUAAGCAGCUCCUGCUGGCGCUGUCCGCGCUGCAUGACCGCAACGUUGUCCACCGCGACGUCAAGCCGGAGAACAUUCUGCUAAACAAGCAUCGGACACGAUUGUUGCUCUCUGACUUUGGGUUUGCGUGCCAUUCCAUGCUUGGCGCUCAGCUGCACCGCGCAUGCGGUACGCUGAAGUACUGUGCCCCUGAGCUCCUUCGUGAGCACCCUUCCUACGAUGGUCGAAAGGUCGACGUCUGGGCCGCUGGCAUCACGCUUUACAUGAUGCUCUUCGGCGGGUAUCCGUACCGCUGCUCGCGCGGCGACCCCGACGCGUUGCUCGAGGUGAUCGAGACGACCACAUAUCGCAUCCCACGCCCCAUCCCGGCUUUGAUCGAGGACAUUUUGCAGCACAUGUUGUGCAUAGACGCGGCCCAGCGCUGGUCUGUGAAACAGCUUCUGCAGCACCCGUGGAUAUCCGAAUUGGAGCUACACUCACCAUCGGCGAGCCCGGCUACCUCGGCGAGUGCCUUCUCUGGAGAGGAGCUGGCGUCGCCCGCGGCCAGCGUGCUUGAGACCGAGGGGGCGAUCACGGAGAUGCCCUCCGAAGACUGCCCACCCGUUGACUCCUUGCCGUCCGACGGGGACGAAGUCGACGACGGCUUCUACCAGAGCAUUAAUCAUGGUCACCUUAGCAGCAGCGCUAGCAGCGGCCUCAACAGCAGCACCAUUUCAACACAGCAGCCUCGGCAGCGGUCCUCGCUUGCUGACUCACGGCGCUCGCACAAGGAGGCCUUCCCCCUCGCCGUCUCUCCCGCCUCGCCGCUUCAUUGCGGAGACCCCGACGUUGUGCAAGGCGGCGAAUCGGAGACGCCGGGCGCAUCAAAAGCAUUUGUCGUACAGCCGCCCACCCGGAGCUCGAGCGCGUCCGCCAAGGAGGAAAUUCUUAAGUACGGCAUUGAGUUCACCUCCUUGACCUCUAUCGAGAGCUUCAUCGCGAGCGACGGUGGGGGCGAGAUGGACGACUCUGAAGACGAAUCCCUCUUCUGGGAGGAGAUGCGUGAGGGUGCCGCGACUAGAGGCCAUUGCGGGAACACCUCCAUGAGCAGCAGCCUCUACACAGGAGCUUCGCACGUGGGCGACGUGCAACAAAGUGGACUGCGGGGCCGGUACUCAUACGGGCUGUGGCUGACCGCCCGCAUGGCCGCCCACCUCGUCGCCUUCAUCGCGGUUUGUGUUGUGGCCUUGGCGCUGCGUGUGCUUUUGAAGCGCGAAAUCAGCGAUCUCCCCUUGCCCAAAGGCAUACGUGACUACAUCUCCUUUCUCUACACCCCCCCGCGCCGGCCCCAUGCGCACCGCAGCGGCGCGGCACCGACACUUUGCCAUUCGCGUGGCGGGCCCCCUACCGCCUCGGCGCUCGUGCUUCGCCAGAAAGGGAGCUACGGUGACAGUAGCGCUAGCUGUCCCCCAACGGCGUCGCCUAUUCCAGGAUCUGGCCUGCGGCACUACGUGCGCACCGCAGAUAAGCUCAUGCGGGACUCGCUCAUGGGCAAUGUUGUGCUGUCGCACAACGCCCCCCUGGUGGAUUUUGCCUACGGCAAGAUGCCCGAACCGUGCCCUCGGAAACACUCGAAGGACCGCUCGCUUUCGUCGACGCCUGCAGCGCCGAGUCUCGCCACAGUAGCGCCGACGCAGUCAUCCACGAGACGGCAAUCUUUGGAGAGGAGUGAGGCGAGCACCGCCGAGGCAUACGCGGAAAACGUGGAGCUGUCCGCCCUGCCUCUGCCGUUGAACUCAGAGAAGAGGCGGGAAAAUACAAAUCGCUUGGUGUCACCAGGCGGCGGAGACGAGGAGGGCUGUAACGAGCAGCGCGACUGGCAGGGAAGCGACUCGUCGCUGCGCAAGGAACGGAGGAGCACGCGGUCAUCACCUCCGCCGCUCAUGUCAGUCGGAGACCCUAUCUCGGCGACGACUGCAGCGAUAACCAGCCUGCGCACCCUGACCAGCUCCAAGACGCCGGUGAGGAGCGAAGUUCGCGUGGACUCCCAGACGGGAGCCACUGACGAUACCGGCAGCUGUGACAGCGCGCUAGACAAGUCGGCCUACUCGCCUCAUCAAAACAUUAUGUUCUCUCCUCUUGAUCCCAUGCCGAUGGCGCUGGGCGACCAUCAGCACGAAAUGGAGGACUUCCCUGUUGUGGCUAAGACGGGCCAUGCGUGAGCUGCGGGAGUGACCACAUCGUCAUGGCCGUCGUGGCAAACGCACGCAUACUUAUAUACGCAUGCGCCACGCUACUUUGAAACGCUUUUGCCUUUCCCUCGCUUCUUUUCAUUGCUGUUCUUGUGUUUAGCACGCGCGACACUGCAGCCGUGGUGUGUGUUGUCGCCUCACGCAUCGCAACUAUUCCCCUUCUCCCUCUCUCUGUCCGAUGGGCUCCCGUCUUGUACUGCUGUUGUUUUUACUGUUUAUAUGUCCUCCAGUGGUUUAUUGCUGCGACAUCGACGAUGGGACGCACUUGCUGAGCUCUAUACCGUUUCUCCUCUUUUUUUAUGUUCUACGGAGGUACGAAGUUUGUGCUGCGUACUUCACAGUGCUUAUAUAUAUAUAUUUGCCUUUGGGCGCAUGUGCAUCACCAGGCUCCUCUGCCCUUCCCUUCAUACCCGUCGUUCCUCCUUUCUUCCUCUCCUCCUUUCUCCUUCCCCAG